AUGCUAGCUUUGGCAGCACAUGUACUAAAACUGAAAAAGUACGGAGAAGAUUAGAAUGGCUUUUGCACAAAGACAGCACUCGAACUUGUGAAGUAUUCCAUAUUUUU